rfam:Gasterosteus aculeatus cont1.010039, whole genome shotgun sequence.
UUAACAAUGCAAUGUUAGUCGCUUUGGAUAAAAGCGUCAGCUAAAUGAUAUGUA